GAUGAACGCUGGCGGUAUGCUUAACACAUGCAAGUCGAACGGACUCUUCGGAGUUAGUGGCGGACGGGUGAGUAACGCGUGAGAAUCUGGCUUUGGGUUCGGGACAACCACUGGAAACGGUGGCUAAUACCGGAUGUGCCGAGAGGUAAAAGGGAAAUUGCCUGAAGAUGAGCUCGCGUCUGAUUAGCUAGUUGGUGAGGUAAAGGCUCACCAAGGCAGCGAUCAGUAGCUGGUCUGAGAGGAUGACCAGCCACACUGGGACUGAGACACGGCCCAGACUCCUACGGGAGGCAGCAGUGGGGAAUUUUCCGCAAUGGGCGAAAGCCUGACGGAGCAAUACCGCGUGAGGGAAGAAGGCUCUUGGGUUGUAAACCUCUUUUCUUAGGGAAGAACAAAAUGACGGUACCUAAGGAAUCAGCAUCGGCUAACUCCGUG
rnacentral:rRNA from 1 species